UGCAGGCUGCAACUCGCCUGCUACGAAGUCGGAAUUGCUAGUAAUCGUAGGUCAGCAUACUACGGUGAAUACGUUCCCGGGCCUUGUACACACCGCCCGUCAAACCAUGAGAGUUGGCAACACCCGAAGUCGGUAGUCUAACCGCAAGGAGGACGCCGCGAAGGUGGGGUUGAUGAUUAGGGUUAAGUCGUAACAAGGUACC
rnacentral:rRNA from 1 species